rnacentral:rRNA from 1 species
GCUAAAAAUAAUAUAAUACAAAUAUCUUAUAUAAUACAAAACAAACCAUUUGAUUUACUUAGUAGAGGCGAUCGAACAGUCAUCCACCAUAUCAGUACCGUAAGGGAACUAUUUAAGCAAUAAACAGCAAAGAUUAACUCUUGUACCUUUUGCAUCAUGGUUUAGCAAGUAAACACAGGGCAGGAAGAAUCAAAGUCCAUUAUCCCGAAACCAGAUGAGCUACCUUUAAGCAGCCUAAAGGGCACAUCCUUCUCUGUGGCAAAAGAGUGGAAAGACUUAAAAGUAGAGGCGAAACACCUACCGAAUCUGGAGAUAGCUGGCUACCCAAAAAGGAAUCUAAGUUCCACUUUAGACCUACAAUUAACAUCAUUAUUCAUCUAAAGAAAUUCAAUAGAGGUACAGCUCUAUUGAAACAGGAUACAACCUGUAUUUGAGAGAAAUACACCAUUUUAUCCUAUACCUGUAGGCCUUAAAGCAGCCACCUUACAAAAUAUCGUUAAAGAAUUACUAAAAAUAAUUCAAAAUCUUAAUAAAAUCUCCAAAUAUACUAAAGGUAAACCUACAACUGUAGGAAUAAUCCUGCUAAAACUAAUAAUAAGAUAACCUCUCUAUACGUAUCCUUCCACUAGAAACAGAAAAUCUACUAGCCAUUAACAGACCAUAAAAGGAUAAAUAUACUCAAUACACACUAUCUAUACUCUUACUGUGACCCCGACACAGGUACGUACAAAAGAAAGAUCAAACACUAUAAAAGGAACUCGGCAAUCAAAGACCCCAACUGUUUAACAAAAACAUAACCUUUAGCCAUUAAACCAGUAUUAAAGGCAACGCCUGCCCAGUGAACAAUUAAACGGCCGCGGUAUCCUAACCGUGCAAAGGUAGCGUAAUCACUUGUCUAUUAAUUGUAGACCCGUAUGAAAGGCAUAAUGAGGGCCUAACUGUCUCUUAUAGUAAAUCAAUUAAACUGAUCUCCCAGUCCAAAAGCUGGAAUAUAAUCAUAAGACCAGAAGACCCUGUGAAGCUUAAACUAAACUAUUAAAACCAAUAAUAACUACUUUCGGUUGGGGCGACCUUGGAAACAAAAAGAACUUCCAAAAAUAGAAUGCAUACCAUUUUCACCCAGGCUGACAAGCCUACUUAACGACCCAGACAAACUGAUAAUUGAACCAAGUUACUCCAGGGAUAACAGCGCUAUCUUCUUCAAGAGCCCAUAUCAAAAAGAAGGUUUACGACCUCGAUGUUGGAUCAGGACAUCCUAAUGGUGCAACCGCUAUUAAAGGUUCGUUUGUUCAACGAUUAACAGUCCUACGUGAUCUGAGUUCAGACCG